rnacentral:rRNA from 1 species
AUUGAACGCUGGCGGCAGGCCUAACACAUGCAAGUCGAACGAGCGGCGGACGGGUGAGUAAUGUAUGGGAAUCUGCCCGAUGGAGGGGGGUAACUACUGGAAACGGUAGCUAAUACCGCAUACUAUCGGAUGUACCCAGAUGGGAUUAGCUAGUAGGUGGGGUAAAGGCUCACCUAGGCGACGAUCCCUAGCUGGUCUGAGAGGAUGACCAGCCACACUGGAACUGAGACACGGUCCAGACUCCUACGGGAGGCAGCAGUGGGGAAUAUUGCACAAUGGGCGCAAGCCUGAUGCAGCCAUGCCGCGUGUAUGAAGAAGGCCUUCGGGUUGUAAAGUACUUUCAGCGGGGAGGCGUUACUCGCAGAAGAAGCACCGGCUAACUCCGUGCCAGCAGCCGCGGUAAUUC